GAUGGACGCUGGCGGCGAGCCUAAUACAUGCAAGUCGAGCGAACGGACGAGAAGCUUGCUUCUCUGAUGUUAGCGGCGGACGGGUGAGUAACACGUGGAUAACCUACCUAUAAGACUGGGAUAACUUCGGGAAACCGGAGCUAAUACCGGAUAAUAUUUUGAACCGCAUGGUUCAAAAGUGAAAGACGGUCUUGCUGUCACUUAUAGAUGGAUCCGCGCUGCAUUAGCUAGUUGGUAAGGUAACGGCUUACCAAGGCAACGAUGCAUAGCCGACCUGAGAGGGUGAUCGGCCACACUGGAACUGAGACACGGUCCAGACUCCUACGGGAGGCAGCAGUAGGGAAUCUUCCGCAAUGGGCGAAAGCCUGACGGAGCAACGCCGCGUGAGUGAUGAAGGUCUUCGGAUCGUAAAACUCUGUUAUUAGGGAAGAACAUAUGUGUAAGUAACUGUGCACAUCUUGACGGUACCUAAUCAGAAAGCCACGGCUAACUACGUGCCAGCAGCCGCGGUAAUACGUAGGUGGCAAGCGUUAUCCGGAAUUAUUGGGCGUAAAGCGCGCGUAGGCGGUUUUUUAAGUCUGAUGUGAAAGCCCACGGCUCAACCGUGGAGGGUCAUUGGAAACUGGAAAACUUGAGUGCAGAAGAGGAAAGUGGAAUUCCAUGUGUAGCGGUGAAAUGCGCAGAGAUAUGGAGGAACACCAGUGGCGAAGGCGACUUUCUGGUCUGUAACUGACGCUGAUGUGCGAAAGCGUGGGGAUCAAACAGGAUUAGAUACCCUGGUAGUCCACGCCGUAAACGAUGAGUGCUAAGUGUUAGGGGGUUUCCGCCCCUUAGUGCUGCAGCUAACGCAUUAAGCACUCCGCCUGGGGAGUACGACCGCAAGGUUGAAACUCAAAGGAAUUGACGGGGACCCGCACAAGCGGUGGAGCAUGUGGUUUAAUUCGAAGCAACGCGAAGAACCUUACCAAAUCUUGACAUCCUUUGACAACUCUAGAGAUAGAGCCUUCCCCUUCGGGGGACAAAGUGACAGGUGGUGCAUGGUUGUCGUCAGCUCGUGUCGUGAGAUGUUGGGUUAAGUCCCGCAACGAGCGCAACCCUUAAGCUUAGUCGCCAUCAUUAAGUUGGGCACUCUAAGUUGACUGCCGGUGACAAACCGGAGGAAGGUGGGGAUGACGUCAAAUCAUCAUGCCCCUUAUGAUUUGGGCUACACACGUGCUACAAUGGACAAUACAAAGGGCAGCGAAACCGCGAGGUCAAGCAAAUCCCAUAAAGUUGUUCUCAGUUCGGAUUGUAGUCUGCAACUCGACUACAUGAAGCUGGAAUCGCUAGUAAUCGUAGAUCAGCAUGCUACGGUGAAUACGUUCCCGGGUCU
rnacentral:rRNA from 1 species